rnacentral:rRNA from 1 species
CCAAUAGCGUAUAUUAAAGUUGUUGCAGUUAAAAAGCUCGUAGUUGAAUUUUGGGUUUGGCCGAUUGGUCCGUUCUUGUAACGAGUACUGGUCGGUUGGGCCUCACCGCCUGGUGAUACGUAAUGCCCUUUAUUGGGUGUUGCGAGUAGCCAGGACCUUUACCUUGAAAAAAUUAGAGUGUUUAAAGCAGGCUUAUGCCGGAAUACAUUAGCAUGGAAUAAUAGAAUAGGACGAUGAUUCUAUUUUGUUGGUUUCUAGGAGCAUCGUAAUGAUUAAUAGGGAUAGUUGGGGGCAUUAGUAUUCAAUUGUCAGAGGUGAAAUUCUUGGAUUUAUUGAAGACUAACUACUGCGAAAGCAUUUGCCAAGGAUGUUUUCAUUAAUCAAGAACGAAAGUUAGGGGAUCGAAGACGAUCAGAUACCGUCGUAGUCUUAACCAUAAACUAUGCCGACUAGGGAUCGGGCGAUGUUGUUUCAAUGACUCGCUCGGCACCUUAUG